AAAUAGAUACCCCGGUAGUCCACGCUGUAAACGGUGGGUACUAGGUGUGGGGUCCAUUCCACGGGUUCCGUGCCGUAGCUAACGCUUUAAGUACCCCGCCUGGGGAGUACGGCCGCAAGGCUAAAACUCAAAGGAAUUGACAGGGCCCCGCACAAGCGGCGGAGCAUGCGGAUUAAUUCGAUGCAACGCGUAGAACCUUACCUGGGUUUGACAUGGAUCGGGAGUGCUCAGAGAUGGGUGUGCCUCUUUUGGGGUCGGUUCACAGGUGGUGCAUGGCUGUCGUCAGCUCGUGUCGUGAGAUGUUGGGUUAAGUCCCGCAACGAGCGCAACCCUUGUUCACUGUUGCCAGCACGUUAUGGUGGGGACUCAGUGGAGACCGCCGGGGUCAACUCGGAGGAAGGUGGGGAUGACGUCAAGUCAUCAUGCCCCUUAUGUCCAGGGCUUCACGCAUGCUACAAUGGCUGGUACAGAGAGUGGCGAGCCUGUGAGGGUGAGCGAAUCUCGGAAAGCCGGUCUCAGUUCGGAUUGGGGU
rnacentral:rRNA from 1 species